GACGAACGCUGGCGGCGUGCUUAACACAUGCAAGUCGAACGGUAAGGCCCUUCGGGGUACACGAGUGGCGAACGGGUGAGUAACACGUGGGUGAUCUGCCCUGCACUUCGGGAUAAGCCUGGGAAACUGGGUCUAAUACCGGAUAGGACUCCGGACUGCAUGGGCUGGGGUGGAAAGCGUUUGCGGUGUGGGAUGGGCCCGCGGCCUAUCAGCUUGUUGGUGGGGUGAUGGCCUACCAAGGCGACGACGGGUAGCCGGCCUGAGAGGGUGACCGGCCACACUGGGACUGAGAUACGGCCCAGACUCCUACGGGAGGCAGCAGUGGGGAAUAUUGCACAAUGGGCGCAAGCCUGAUGCAGCGACGCCGCGUGAGGGAUGACGGCCUUCGGGUUGUAAACCUCUUUCAGCAUCGACGAAGCGAAAGUGACGGUAGGUGCAGAAGAAGGACCGGCCAACUACGUGCCAGCCGCCGCGGUAA
rnacentral:rRNA from 1 species